rnacentral:rRNA from 1 species
UACGGGGGGGGCAAGCGUUGUUCGGAAUUACUGGGCGUAAAGGGCGCGUAGGCGGCGUGACAAGUCACUUGUGAAAUCUCCGGGCUUAACUCGGAACGGUCAAGUGAUACUGUCGUGCUAGAGUACAGAAGGGGCAACUGGAAUUCUCGGUGUAGCGGUGAAAUGCGUAGAUAUCGAGAGGAACACCUGCGGCGAAGGCGGGUUGCUGGGCUGAUACUGACGCUGAGGCGCGAAAGCCAGGGGAGCGAACGGG